rnacentral:tRNA from 1 species
GGUGACUGAGUGGUUAAGUGCUUGGCUGCUGACCAAAAGGUCAGUGGUUCGAACCCACCAGCCA